rnacentral:lncRNA from 1 species
UUUUUUUAAAAUAACCAACUAUUUCAAAAAUAAUUCCAAAAUAACAAAUUUUUCAGAUUUUUUUUUAAAAUAAACACAUUUAAAAGAGAAUGCGCCAGAUGAACCGACGCAUCCCUUAAACAUCAAAAGGAGGCGCCCAAGGCAUUAACGUCUGCAUUUGGCUCCUCAUGAGGAGCCGCCAAUGCUCUUGACGCAUGUAUUGAACCUCAUGAGGAGGCGUCAAUGCCUCUGGCACCUGCAUGGUGCCUUAAG